GGCAAAGUUAAUAUGGUCGACGUAUAAUUUGGAAGAAUGUUCAAACAGAAGCAAGUUUGGAGGACCUUUCGAUGGAGGGAUUUUGACAGAUGAAACUGAUAAUUUACAUUAUCGAAAGUCGCUAUGCAUAUGUUACGUAUACAAGGGUAUUACCUGCAGCUUGGCUGCCUACAACUGCAAUAUUUUCUGUAAAUCUAGAGGCUUAGUAUUACCUAUAAUAAUUGGACUUAAACAAAACUGAGAUGAUCAUCUUAUGCAUACUAAUAGACAGAUAUGCUUCAUGAGGCUAGGCUUCACCGUGCAUUGAGGAUCAUCCGUAACACACUCUUCAUCUUUGGCCUUGCUUCUGGUGAAACACUGACACAACUGAGAGCAAUCUUGAGCAUUGCAAGCAUUUGGCCUCUGACAGCUAGUGAUGUUUUACUGACGUUAAAGUCGAGGAUGUGAUCCCACCUAUUCUGCUGCUUUGAGCUAUUUAAGACCCACUUGGCUAAUUCACUUCCCUCGCUAACUGCUGGCUUUC
rnacentral:misc_RNA from 1 species